rnacentral:rRNA from 1 species
UACGGAGGUGGCAAGCGUUGUUCGGAAUUACUGGGCGUAAAGGGCGCGUAGGCGGCUAGGCAAGUCAGGUGUGAAACCCCGGGGCUUAACUCCGGGCCUGCAUUCGAUACGGGCUGACUAGAGUUCGGCAGGGGAGACUGGAAUUCCUGGUGUAGCGGUGAAAUGCGCAGAUAUCAGGAGGAACACCGGUGGCGAAGGCGGGUCUCUGGGCCGAUACUGACGCUGAGGAGCGAAAGCGUGGGGAGCGAACGGG